CAGCAGCCACGGGAAUACGAAGGGUGCAAGCGUUAAUCGGAAUUACUGGGCGUAAAGCGUGCGUAGGCGGUGAGUUAAGUCUGCUGUGAAAUCCCCGGGCUCAACCUGGGAAUGGCAGUGGAUACUGGCUCGCUAGAGUGUGUCAGAGGAUGGUGGAAUUCCCGGUGUAGCGGUGAAAUGCGUAGAGAUCGGGAGGAACAUCAGUGGCGAAGGCGACCAUCUGGGACAACACUGACGCUGAGGCACGAAAGCGUGGGGAGCAAACAGGAUUAGAUACCCCUGUAGUCCCUGUCUCUUAUAC
rnacentral:rRNA from 1 species